rnacentral:rRNA from 1 species
GUUGUAUAGUCAAGUAAUUAAGUGCAUGUGGUGGAUGCCUUGGCAGUCAGAGGCGAUGAAAGACGUGAUAGCCUGCGAAAAGCUCCGGGGAGGCGGCAAAUAUCCUUUGAUCCGGAGAUGUCUGAAUGGGGGAACCCACCUACUUUAAGGUAGGUAUUGCAACAUGAAUACAUAGUGUUGCAAGGCGAACGAGGGGAAGUGAAACAUCUCAGUACCCUUAGGAAAAGAAAUCAAUUGAGAUUCCCUCAGUAGCGGCGAGCGAACGGGGAUCAGCCCAUUAAGUUAUGUGUGUUUUAGUGGAACGCUCUGGGAAGUGCGAACGUAGAGGGUGAUAUUCCCGUACACGAAAGGGCACACAUAAUGAUGACGAGUAGGGCGAGGCACGUGAAACCUUGUCUGAAUAUGGGGGGACCAUCCUCCAAGGCUAAAUACUCCUGACUGACCGAUAGUGAACCAGUACCGUGAGGGAAAGGCGAAAAGAACCCCUGUGAGGGGAGUGAAAUAGAUCCUGAAACCGCAUGCAUACAAGCAGUGGGAGCACCUUCGUGGUGUGACUGCGUACCUUUUGUAUAAUGGGUCAGCGACUUAUAUUCAGUAGCAAGGUUAACCGUAUAGGGGAGCCGUAGAGAAAUCGAGUCUUAAUAGGGCGUUUAGUUGCUGGGUAUAGACCCGAAACCAGGCGAUCUAUCCAUGAGCAGGUUGAAGGUUGGGUAACACUAACUGGAGGACCGAACCCACUGUCGUUGAAAAGCCAGGGGAUGACUUGUGGAUAGGGGUGAAAGGCUAAUCAAGCCUGGUGAUAGCUGGUUCUCCCCGAAAGCUAUUUAGGUAGCGCCUCGGACGAAUACCAUAGGGGGUAGAGCACUGUUUCGGCUAGGGGGUCAUCCCGACUUACCAAACCGAUGCAAACUCCGAAUACCUAUGAGUACUAUCCGGGAGACAGACUGCGGGUGCUAACGUCCGUAGUCAAGAGGAAAACAAUCCAGACCGCCAGCUAAGGCCCCAAAAUCAUAGUUAAGUGGGAAACGAUGUGGGAAGGCAUAGACAGCUAGGAGGUUGGCUUAGAAGCAGCCACCCUUUAAAGAAAGCGUAAUAGCUCACUAGUCGAGUCGGCCUGCGCGGAAGAUGUAACGGGGCUAAAACUAUGUGCCGAAGCUGCGGAUUU